UACGUAGGGUGCAAGCGUUGUCCGGAAUUAUUGGGCGUAAAGAGCUCGUAGGCGGUCUGUCGCGUCUGCUGUGAAAACCUAGGGCUUAACUCUGGGCGUGCAGUGGGUACGGGCAGGCUAGAGUGCGGUAGGGGAGACUGGAAUUCCUGGUGUAGCGGUGAAAUGCGCAGAUAUCAGGAGGAACACCGGUGGCGAAGGCGGGUCUCUGGGCCGUAACUGACGCUGAGGAGCGAAAGCAUGGGGAGCAAACAGGA
rnacentral:rRNA from 1 species